GUGGGGAAUCUUGCGCAAUGGGCGAAAGCCUGACGCAGCCAUGCCGCGUGAAUGAUGAAGGUCUUAGGAUUGUAAAAUUCUUUCACCGGGGACGAUAAUGACGGUACCCGGAGAAGAAGCUCCGGCUAACUUCGUGCCAGCAGCCGCGGUAAUACGAAGGGGGCUAGCGUUGCUCGGAAUUACUGGGCGUAAAGGGCGCGUAGGCGGACAGCUUAGUCAGAGGUGAAAGCCCAGGGCUCAACCUUGGAAUUGCCUUUGAUACUGGCUGUCUUGAGUUUGGGAGAGGUGAGUGGAACUCCGGGUGUAGAGGUGAAAUUCGUAGAUAUUCGGAAGAACACCAGUGGCGAAGGCGACUCACUGGCCCGUUACUGACGCUGAGGCGCGAAAGCGUGGGGAGCAAACAGGAUUAGAUACCCUGGUAGUCC
rnacentral:rRNA from 1 species